GUACAUCAAAGGAGCCGAUUGUAGGAGUUUACGGACUCCUGCACAGUCUGUUUUGAUGUCCAGAUUCCAUUCCUGUGUUGACCUGUUAAAUUUAGCAGGCAACCAAAUAUAAAAAAAGAUUCUUUCAGUGAGUAAGAUGUCCUGAAAGCCGGGAGAAUUC
rnacentral:ncRNA from 1 species